GGGAGAGGUGUGGGGAGCUCUGCUUCAGCUGUGGGGCCUCAGGAGGCAGGACUCAGGGAUGACCUCCACCAUGGCCUGGGCCCCUCUCCUCCUCACCCUCCUGGCUCACUGCACAGGAUCCUGGGCCCAGUCUGUGCUGACUCAGCAGUCCUCAGUGUCGGGGGCCCUGGGCGAGAGGGUCACCAUCUCCUGCACUGGAAGCAGCUCCAACAUUGGGGGUGGUUACGCUGUGUCCUGGUACCAGCAGCUCCCAGGAAAGGCCCCCAAAUGCAUCAUCUAUGAUAAUAGCAACCGACCCUCAGGGGUCCCUGAUCGAUUCUCUGGCUCCAAGUCUGGCAGCUCAGCCUCCCUGACCAUCACGAGGCUGCAGGCGGAGGACGAGGCCGACUAUUACUGCUCAGCUUGGGACAGCAGUCUCAAAGCUCGCACUGUGCUCCAGGCCUGUGGGGAACUGAGACAAAAACCUGCUGUCCCUCUUGAAAUGGGGCUCCCCUAG